CCCUUAGAUGUUCUGGGCAGCACGCGCGCUACAAUGGUCUUCGCAAACGGAUGCAUUCUCGAAGGAGAAUGCCAAUCUUGGAAUCUAUGCCUUGGUCGGGACGGUUGCUUGCAAUUUUUCGACUCGAACCAGGAAUUCCUUGUAAUCGUGAUUCAUCACAUCACGAUGAAUACGUCCCUGCCCUUUGUACACACCGCCCGUCGCUCCUACCGAUCGAAGAGUUAGGUGAAUUGUUUUGAUCGAUAAGAUUUGACUAUGGUCAACUCUCGUUGUGAAAUCCUGUGAAUCUGACUGUUUAGAGGAAGGAAAAGUCGUAACA
rnacentral:rRNA from 1 species